rnacentral:rRNA from 1 species
CAAAAACAUGUCUUUUUGAUUAUUAUAUAAGGUCUGGCCUGCCCAAUGAGGAAUUGAAUGGCUGCGGUAUUUUAACCGUGCUAAGGUAGCAUAAUCAUUUGUCUUUUAAUUGAGGGCUUGUAUGAAAGGUUGGAUGAAUCAAUAACUUUCUUUAAUUUAAUUUAUGAAUUUAAUUUUUUAGUCAAAAAGCUAAAAUAUUUUUAUUGGACGAGAAGACCCUAUAGAUCUUUACAGGUUAUUAAAUUUGAUAAUUUAGGGAAUUACUUAUUUUUAUUUAAAAUCUUGUUUGAUUGGGGUGAUUGUAGAAUUUUAUAAACUUCUAUUGUUUGAUUUUCAAUAAUUAUUGUUUAAUUGAUCCAUAAUAUGAUGAUUAAAAGAUUAAGUUACCUUAGGGAUAACAGCGUAAUUCUUUCGGAGAGUUCAUAUUGAUGAAGGAGUUUGCGACCUCGAUGUUGGAUUAAAAUAAGUAUUAGGUGUAGCAGCUUAAUAACUAGGUCUGUUCGACCUUUAAAGUUUUACAUGAUCUGAGUUCAAAACCGGAGA